GCUGGGUGUGGUGGCUCAUGCCUGUAAUCCCAGCACUUUGGGAGGCUGAGAUGGGAGGAUCACUUGAGGCCAGGAGUUUGAGACCAGCCUGGUCAAUAUAGUGAGACCCCAUCUCUA
ensembl:misc_RNA Metazoa_SRP Metazoan signal recognition particle RNA